rnacentral:rRNA from 1 species
UACGUAGGGACCGAGCGUUGUCCGGAAUCAUUGGGCGUAAAGAGCGUGUAGGCGGCUAUUUAAGUCCUGCGUGAAAUCCUGCGGCUCAACCGCAGACGGUCGUGGGAAACUGGAUGGCUAGAGUGCGGGAGAGGAGAGUGGAAUUCCCGGUGUAGCGGUGAAAUGCGCAGAUAUCGGGAAGAACACCCGUGGCGAAGGCGGCUCUCUGGAACGCAACUGACGCUGAGAUGCGAAAGCGUGGGGAGCAAACGGG